AGAUUAAAUACGUAGAACAGUGCCUGGCACAUAGAGCGUGUUCAGUCCAACUUGGCAUUUCUUGGCUGUAUCUCUGAAGGAAAGUCAUCUUAAUCUCUAUGAGCCUCCAUUUCCUCAGCUGUAAAAUGGGAAGAUCUUCCUCACACUGCUGUGGAGAGGAAAUGGCAGCCUAACUCCAGGCAGGGCCCGGGCUCAGAAGGGGGUCUACAGGGCUGAAGAGGCAGCUGGCCAGAGAUUCCACAGGAAGCAUCUUGUUGACACAUCUUCAUCACUUUGGAAUUUGAGCAACAACAUUUACCCCUUCUGAAACUCACCCAGAGGAAGCGGAUUUUCUGACGCAUAUGAAGAGUGAGAACUGUCUACAUCUAAGUCUUCUUUGAGAACAAUACCAGCUGAGCGGCUAUUUACAUUCCAGCUUCUUUUGAGAAUCUCUGAAGAUGAUUAAGUCAUUGUCAGCUGGCCCAGAACCAUAUCCUGCUCCACAAGCCUCGUCCUUGGCAAGAAGUUGCACCUGCCCAGAGAGAAAACCUUUUGAAACUGGCACAAAGGCACUGGAGAGACUGGCAGGGCCCCCUACUUGACGAUCUGGCUCAUCCAUCUGCACACUGACCACGCUAAGAGCUGUCUGCAGUGAUGGAAACCUUCUCUAGCUGUGCUGUCCUCUAUAGUGGCACCAGCUGCCUGUGGC
rnacentral:lncRNA from 10 species